GAUGAACGCUGGCGGCGUGCUUAACACAUGCAAGUCGAACGAGAAGUGAAGACGGAAACCUUCGGGCGGAAGGCUUUAUUUCGAGUGGCGGACGGGUGAGUAACGCGUGGGUAACCUGCCUCAUACAGGGGGAUAACAGUUGGAAACGACUGUUAAUACCGCAUAAGACCACAGCACCGCAUGGUGCGGGGGUAAAAACUCCGGUGGUAUGAGAUGGACCCGCGUUCGAUUAGCCAGUUGGCGGGGUAACGGCCCACCAAAGCGACGAUCGAUAGCCGAUCUGAGAGGAUGACCGGCCACAUUGGGACUGAGACACGGCCCAAACUCCUACGGGAGGCAGCAGUGGGGAAUAUUGCACAAUGGGGGAAACCCUGAUGCAGCGACGCCGCGUGAGUGAAGAAGUAUUGCGGUAUGUAAAGCUCUAUCAGCAGGGAAGAAAAUGACGGUACCUGAGUAAGAAGCCCCGGCUAACUACGUG
rnacentral:rRNA from 1 species